rnacentral:misc_RNA from 1 species
UAUUGGAUUUUAUGUGUAUUUGUUGCAGAUGGCGACAGUUACUGUUAAAAAGGAAGAAGAGGAGGAUGAGGUUGAUAGCAGCCAGCAACCAGAUGCAUUGGAAGAUGAUUGCAGCCAACAAAAUUAUCUAAUCCCUGGCUACAACAUGAUCUUCAUCAAAGAGGGUCCAUAUGAUGAUGAGCAAGAGGCUGGAGGAAGUGCAGUGAAGAGUGAACCAGAGAUGUGGCAUUCAAACUGCAGCACAUCUGGCCAAGACUACACAACAGAAGAGGGUGGACUGAUUGAGCAUUCAAUCUCUCCAAUGGAAAAGUGCACUGAGUCAUCUGUGGCUGGCAAAAAGAUCAAGCUCUACAGCUGUGCUCACUGUAGCUAUGAAACACCAAAUUCUGCUAAUUUGAAGAGACACAUUCGGAAACACACUGGAGAAACACCUUUCAGCUGCGAGUUUUGUGACUACAAAACUGCUCGUUCUUGUCUUUUGAAAGAACAUAUAACAACACAUACUGGAGAAAAACCUUACAUCUGUGACUUUUGCAACUACAAAAGUGCUAAGUUGAAUAGUUUGAAGAGACACAUCAGAACACAUACUGGAGAAAAACCUUUUAGCUGUGAGUUAUGUGACUUCAAAAGUUCUCAGUUAUAUCAUUUGAAAAGUCAUAUGAGCACACAUACUGGAGAAAAACCAUUCAGCUGCGAGCUUUGUGACUUCAAAAGUGCUAGUUCAAGUAGUUUGAAAAGACACCACAUCAGAACACAUACUGGAGAAAAACCUUUCAGCAUGGAGUUUUGUGACCUCAAAAGUGAUACGUUGGGUAAUUCGAAAGCACAUACCAGAACACAUGCAGCAGAAAAUCUUUUCAAUGAAUUAUGGAUUAUUUCAGAUCAUCAAGAGGCUGAAGGAAGUGCAGGGAAGAGCGAACCAGAGAUGUGGCCUCCAAUCUGCAGCACAUCUGGCCAAGACUACACAACAGAAGUGGGUGGACUGAAUGAGCAUUCAAUCUCUCCAGUGGAAAAGUGCACUGAGUCAUCUGUGGCUGGCAAAAAGACCAAGCUCUACAGCUGUGCUCACUGUAGCUAUGAAACACCAAAUUCUUCUAGUUUGAAGAGACACAUUCGGAAACACACUGGAGAAAAACCUUUCAGUUGCGAGUUUUGUGACUACAAAACUGCUCGUUCUUGUCUUUUGAAAGUACAUGUAACAACACAUACUGGAGAAAAACCUUACAGCUGUGACUCUUGUGACUUCAAAAGUGCUAAGUCAGAUAGCUUGAAGAGACAUAUCAGAACACAUACUGGAGAAAAACCUUUUAGCUGUGAGUUAUGUGACUUCAAAAGUUCUCAGUUGAGUCAUUUGAAAAGUCAUUUGAUCACACACACUGGAGAAAAACGUUUCAGCUGCGAGCUUUGUGACUUCAAAACUGCCAAGUUAGGUAAUUUGAAAAGACACCACAUCAGAACACAUACUGGAGAAAAAAACCUUUCAGCAUGGAGUUUUGUGACCUCAAAAGUGCUACAUUAGGUGGCUGAUGGAGGAAUCUCAUUGACUUGGGCUGCAAUGGAUGCUGGAAGGCAGCGGCCCCAAUACAAUGAUACGAAUCUUGGACGUGGAUGACCGCGCAGAGGAAUAUGAGGAAACUUGUACUGCUUGAGAAGACUUCGUCUCCAAUCUUCAGCGGUGGAUUACUUCACAUCUUGAUAUCGUGUAUCUAUCACCAAUCGACAAAUUUCUGCAGGAAAGGGAAUCGCCAGUCAACAUAGACUCUGGAAUUUAAUAUUAAAUUUCAAUAUGACUUAUGUGUUACGACAAAGACAAUAAACUGACAAAGACAAUAAAUUGAGUAAUUAAACAUUUUAUGUUUUUUCAUUCAUCUUUUUAUUUUUGUUUUAUGAUUUGUUUAUUUGUUAUUAAACGUUAUUAUUUUCUGUUU